rnacentral:RNase_P_RNA from 1 species
AACAGUCGCAUAUAGAACUCGCAAGGGUCUACAUGAGGAAAGUCCGGGCUCCAUAGAGCAAUGAUGCUGGAUAACGUCCAGUGAGGGUAACCUUAAGGAAAGUGCAACAGAAAAUAACAGCCCUAGCUUUGCUAGAGCAAUAGGUGAAAAGGUGAGGUAAGAGCUUACCGCCAGUUUGGAGACAAACGUGGGUCAAUGUAAACCCCAUCUGGAGCAACACCUAAAAAGAAGGCUAAGACUGCUCGUCAUCUUCUGAAUUGGUGGCUUGAGAUAUGUAGUAAUAUAUAUCCUAGAUAAAUGACUGUUCAAGACAGAACCCGGCUUAUAGAUAUACUC